GAUCCUGGCUCAGGAUGAACGCUAGCGACAGGCUUAACACAUGCAAGUCGAGGGGCAUCAUGGUAAGUAGCAAUACUUAUUGAUGGCGACCGGCGCACGGGUGGGUAACGCGUAUGCAACUUACCUAUCAGAGGGGGAUAGCCCGGCGAAAGUCGGAUUAAUACUCCAUAAAACAGGGGUUCCGCAUGGGACUAUUUGUUAAAGAUUCAUCGCUGAUAGAUAGGCAUGCGUUCCA
rnacentral:rRNA from 1 species